AACGUAGGAUCCGAGCGUUAUCCGAAUUCACUGGGCGUAAAGCGCGAGUAGGCGGCCGGAUAAGUUGGAUGUAAAAUCUCCCGGCUCAACUGGGAGAGGACGUACAAGACUGUUUGGCUAGAGGGCGAUAGAGGGAGGCGGAAUUCCCGGUGUAGUGGUGAAAUGCGUAGAUAUCGGGAGGAACACCAGAGGCGAAGGCGGCUUCCUGGAUCGUACCUGACGCUGAGAUGCGAAAGCUAGGGGAGCAAACGGG
rnacentral:rRNA from 1 species